UACGUAGGGCGCAAGCGUUGUCCGGAAUCAUUGGGCGUAAAGAGCUCGUAGGUGGUCUGUUACGUCUGCUGUGAAAUCCUAGGGCUUAACCCUGGGCCUGCAGUGGAUACGGGCAGACGUAGAGGUAGGUAGGGGAGAAUGGAAUUCCCGGUGUAGCGGUGAAAUGCGCAGAUAUCGGGAGGAACACCGGUGGCGAAGGCGGUUCUCUGGG
rnacentral:rRNA from 1 species